GUCGAGAAUCUUUCACAAUGGGGGCAACCCUGAUGGAGCGACGCCGCGUGGAGGAUAAGGUCUUCGGAUUGUAAACUCCUGUCAUGCGUGAACAAGGUUGCUUGGUUAAUACCUGGGCAAAUUGAUGGUAACGCAAGAGGAAGAGACGGCUAACUCUGUGCCAGCAGCCGCGGUAAUACAGAGGUCUCAAGCGUUGUUCGGAAUCACUGGGCGUAAAGGGUGCGUAGGUGGCGUGGUAAGUCAGAUGUGAAAGCCCGGGGCUCAACCACGGAACUGCAUCCGAUACUGCCAUGCUAGAGUACUGGAGAGGUGACUAGAAUUCUCGGUGUAGCAGUGAAAUGCGUAGAUAUCGAGAGGAAUACCAAAGGCGUAGGCAGGUCACUGGACAGUUACUGACACUGAGGCACGAAGGCCAGGGGAGCGAACGGGAUUAGAUACCCCAGUAGUCC
rnacentral:rRNA from 1 species